UUAAAAUAUUUGAAUAGAGGGGAUCAUGUUUUGGUAACAGGGUUGCACGUAAAACUUUUUAGUAUUGAAUGAUCAGUCAUAUUUUCUAAGUCAUUGCCAUAAUUUCACAAUUUCUGCCUCGGUUUGAGCACAACUUCCCCUCCCAAAAAAUGGGGGGUAAAAUUUAAUACACACAAGUACUCAAAUACUAAUAUAAUUUUGGGUAUUAGAAUAUUCGACUAUCCAUGCCCAUCCCUAGUACCUAGUAGGAUUAUAAUACGAUUAACGAUCUCUUAAAAGUUUAUGUAAAAAACCACGCCAGCUUGAAGUGUUAUUUGUCAAUAGCGACCACAGUUUUUCAAAUACAGGCUCAGCUAAUACAUCUUUUUAAGAACUUGGUCUAUAGAAGCCAAAUAUCAAAAGACGUGAAGAUCAGACAUUUCAUAUGAAACAAGUUUCAUGAAUCUAAAACCCAGUGCAUGACACAUGGAUUCACCCAAUGUAUUGUGGGAACUUGUGGAAGGUUCGUAUCUCAGAACAUCUUGGCACCAUUAGGUGUAAAAACACGACAUACCCUGUUGCUGCUCAUUUCAUUGAGAUGAAUCAUUCAAUUGCAUCUCUCCACUAUACAGGCAUUGAACAUGUCACCCUUCCUAGGAGAGGAGGCAACCUUGACAAUUUAUUGUUAAAAAGAGAGGCGGCUUGGAUCUUUAAUUUAAGGACCCUUGCUCCAUUAGGUCUCAAUAUUAAUUAUGAUCUGAAACCAUUUCUUUGAUUUGUGUAUUCAUUUUUAACAUGGUUUGCUCUUGAUUAUUGAUAAAACUUAGUGCCAUUGUGGCCUUUGGUGUAUUCCUGUUUGUAUAUAUCUAUUCUUUAUUUUGUUUCCCUAUUCAAUUUUGACACACUACUCCUUUAUUCUCCAAUUGGAUAAUCUCUCUGAUUGACAUAUUACAAGCACCUGUGUGUGUCCCACAAUACCCUAUAAAAGCAUGUGAUUUGCAGUGUUUUUCAGUGUACCCUGAUGAAGACAGCAUGUAUAUGGUAUAUGCUUUUGAGUUUAGAGUGUGCCGCUUUUUCAUUCAUUUUAUUUCCAUUUCCUACCCUUUAGCCAGCACCUCGUCAACUAAGGUGUGUGUUUCUUCUACCUUUAACUUGUGGAAGGCUACCUGAAACAUUUGACCCAAGUCAAACAAUUAAAUUAAAAUGUUUUAACAAUCGAUAAAUAAGAUAUUAACAGGAAAUUGCAUCAUAAAGAUUUUCUGCACCAUUGCCAGGCAACAAGCGGGUAGACCACCACUAACUGCUGCUGAAAAGCAUUGGCUUUACCAUACUCUCCAAGAUGCUGACCCUGAGAGAGCAGAGGACCUCAGAAAAGAGAGAAAAGUGCAAGAGAGACAAUGCGACGCGAAAGAAGGCGUUGAUAGGCGACAUGGGUAAAAGAGCACAGCGAGGACAGCGCACAAAGCAGAGAGGCAUAAAACACACACGUGCAUGGAGAACAUGUGGAACGGAACAACCAUUAACAACCUGUUCAGUGAAUGGAGUCGACAGAGGUGUUAUUUACAACGGAAAUCACUGUUCAUAUUAAGUUGCUGCUCAAGUAUGGUGAUAUAUACUAUUGUAAAUUAUUUUGGAUGAUUUUGACUGACAAUUGUUUAUUUUGUUAAAUUAUGCACACGGCCCUACGUCUCUCCCUGCUCUAUCACACCUGAUUGAAAUGAUCAAACAUGCAGGUUGGAGUCCCUCCAGGAGCAGGAUUGAGAAAAAACUGUUCUAUGCUACUGUACACGUCAUCCUGGGAAUUCAAAGUAUUUAACUGCCCUUUUUUACCUGUCAUUGGAGUGAUAGGAUCCCAGCUCUGGCCAUCUGGCACAUACAGUAUCUCA